rnacentral:lncRNA from 1 species
CUUUAAGAAGUACAGGCUCACUUUCACCUUUACUCUCAACAUUUUACCCAGUGGAGACAUUUUUCACCAUCAGGCCACAUUAGAGCACAGUGUUAAAUACACAGCUCCAGUUUCACCCACGCUCGAGGGAAAGUGCACAGAGAGCAGUCUGCUGGUGCUGCUGCACCAUGGGGCCCAGACCGAGCUGCAGUGGGAGCUCUUCUUCGGAGCCCACAGGUUGGACUGGAGCCUGGUGGAGAUGGGUGGGUUUGUGGUGGAGGCAGAGGAUGACUACUUGACUGUGGAGAUUCCCCUCUACAGCCCGGGGCUGAACUUUGAGGAGCUGACAUUGUGGGGUAUUGUUGCUGGAGUGGAAGUGUCUGUUGUGGAUGCACAGUCUCUCAAAGUCCAGGACAGUCUUGUCCACAAAUGCACCUUUCCUGCUAGAGAACUACUAGGUACACAGAAGAUCUGUGCCUCUUAUUAUAUUUAACCAGUAAAACAGCUGUGACACUCUCUGUGUCUGUGACAGUAUGUUUGCCUGAAGGGAAGAUGAUGGCACUCGUCGACACCACCCACACCAGCCCGCCCACCAGCCCCAACCGAACCACGCUGUUGGACCCCAGCUGUGUUCCCAUGGAGACAGACAGCGCCAGAGCUCUGUUCAGCUUCAGCCUCAACUCCUGUGGGACGACAGUGACUGUGAGACACUUUGUUAUAAAAUCCACAUAGAAAAUAUGCUCCGUGCCUCUGAUUGAAUUUUAAUUUUUU